AUUUGGCAGCCUGAACGUUUUCAGAGAGGUUGUGGAGUCUUCCUUCUUGGAGAUAUCCAAAAGCCGUCUGGACAUGGUCUUGGGCAACUGGCUCUAGGUGGCACUGCUUGAGCAGGGGGGUUGGACUAGAUGACCUCCAGAGGUCCCUUCCAACCUCAGCUAUUCUGUGAU